rnacentral:rRNA from 1 species
AUUGAACGCUGGCGGCAGGCCUAACACAUGCAAGUCGAGCGAGCGGCGGACGGGUGAGUACUGUCUGGGAAACUACCCGUUGGAGGGGGAGAACUACUGGAAAAGGUAGAUAAUACCGCAUACCAUCGAGAGUGCACCGAGGGGAUUAGCUCGUGGGUGGGGUAACGGCUCACCUAGGCGACGAUCCCUCGCUGGUGGGAGAGGAGGACCAGCCACACUGGAACGGAGACACGGUCCAGACUCCUACGGGAGGCAGCAGUGGGGAAUAUUGCACAAUGGGCGCAAGCCUGAUGCAGCCAUGCCGCGUGUAUGAAGAAGGCCUUCGGGUUGUAAAGUACUUUCAGCGGGGAGGCGUUACCCGCAGAAGAAGCACCGGCUAACUCCGUGCCAGCAGCCGCGGUAAUUC